GACGAACGCUGGCGGCGUGCUUAACACAUGCAAGUCGAGCGGUAAGGCCCUUUCGGGGGUACACGAGCGGCGAACGGGUGAGUAACACGUGGGUGACCUGCCCUCAGCUCUGGGAUAAGCCUGGGAAACCGGGGUCUAAUACUGGAUAUGACUCCAUGACGCAUGUUGUGGGGUGGAAAGCCUUGUGCGGCUGAGGAUGGGCCCGCGGCCUAUCAGCUU
rnacentral:rRNA from 1 species